GACGGAGGAUGCAAGCGUUAUCCGGAAUGAUUGGGCGUAAAGCGUCCGCAGGUGGCAGUUCAAGUCUGCUGUCAAAGACCGGGGCUUAACUUCGGAAAGGCAGUGGAAACUGAACAGCUAGAGUAUGGUAGGGGCAGAGGGAAUUCCUGGUGUAGCGGUGAAAUGCGUAGAGAUCAGGAAGAACAUCGGUGGCGAAGGCGCUCUGCUGGACCAUAACUGACACUCAGGGACGAAAGCUAGGGGAGCGGAUGGG
rnacentral:rRNA from 1 species